GAGGGUACAGCUCAGCGGUAGAGCUUGUGCUUAGGAUGCACAAGGUCCUGGGUUCAAUCCUCAGUACCGCCA
rnacentral:tRNA from 1 species